GAUGAACGCUGGCGGCGUGCCUAAUACAUGCAAGUCGAGCGAACAGACGAGGAGCUUGCUCCUCUGACGUUAGCGGCGGACGGGUGAGUAACACGUGGAUAACCUACCUAUAAGACUGGGAUAACUUCGGGAAACCGGAGCUAAUACCGGAUAAUAUAUUGAACCGCAUGGUUCAAUAGUGAAAGACGGUUUUGCUGUCACUUAUAGAUGGAUCCGCGCCGCAUUAGCUAGUUGGUAAGGUAACGGCUUACCAAGGCAACGAUGCGUAGCCGACCUAGAGGGUGAUCGGCCACACUGGAACUGAGACACGGUCCAGACUCCUACGGGAGGCAGCAGUAGGGAAUCUUCCGCAAUGGGCGAAAGCCUGACGGAGCAACGCCGCGUGAGUGAUGAAGGUCUUCGGAUCGUAAAACUCUGUUAUUAGGGAAGAAUAAAUGUGUAAGUAACUAUGCACGUCUUGACGGUACCUAAUCAGAAAGCCACGGCUAACUACGUG
rnacentral:rRNA from 1 species